rnacentral:lncRNA from 1 species
CAUGUCUCCCCUGUCCCUUGCAGAAGGCCUGUUCCAGUGAAUGAAGGGAAGACUGAAGAAGUUGUGGAGUGCAAAGGAGGAAGACCAAGGAUUUCAGAACCACACAGAUCUUAGUUCAAUGCCGCCUUUGCCAUUUUCUAGCUGGGCUCCCCUUGGGGAAGUCGCAUCAUGUCUCUAACCUCAUUUUUUGCACUUGGAAAAUGAGGACAAUCUGAGCAUCUGAUUUGCAGAGUUGUAAAUGAAAGGAGAUCAAGCCAGGCAUGGGGGCCCUUGCCUGUAAUCCCAUUUGCUCAGGAGGCUGAGGCAGAAAGAUUAAAACCCAGCCUCAGCAAAAGCAAGGUGCUAAGCAACUCAGUGAGACCAAAACAGAUUUUGGGAUAUGGCUCAGUGGUAGAGUGCCCCUGAGUUCAAUCCCCUAUACCCGCCCCCCCAAAAAGGAGAUCAAGCAGUACAUAGUAGGUGUUCCAUCAGUGAAGACUGAAUUAUGGGCUGGGGAUGUGGCUCAGAGGAAGAGCUCCUGUCUAGUAUGCAUAAGGCCCUGGGUUCCAACCCCAGUAUGGUGGGGGGAGCCAGGUGUGAUUGCCUACACCUAUAAAAUCACAGUGACUUGGGAGGUUGAGGCAGGAGGAUUUCAAUUUUGAGGCCAGCCCUGUCUCAAAAUAAAAACUAAAAAAGAUUGGAGAUGCACUUGGUGGCAAAGAGUCUCUG